CGCGGGGUGGAGCAGUUCGGUAGCUCGUCGGGCUCAUAACCCGAAGGUCGUAGGUUCAAAUCCUUCCCCCGCAACCA
rnacentral:tRNA from 1 species